UCUCCUGCGGUGUUGUGAGAAAACCUCUUGGACAUGUUCUCAAACGCUCCACUUUUACUUGUGGAUCACGUCUGGAUUGUAUUUCAUUGCUAUGAUGGGCUUGAUCUUCUCAGUCAUCAUGGUGAAGCAGAUCCGUCCCACCGGAUCAGAUCGGAUCCGUCAACGCCGUCACACCGUCGGAGCAGCUGUAGAAAUGACCACUGACUGAAAUGAAGCUCCGUGUUCUGGACGUCUGUGACUCCAUGCAAAACGUUAUUUCCUCAGAUUAUUUGCCAUAAAAUGUUUUGCUUUUAAAACAGAACCCAUUAAACUUGUUGCAAUCAUCGA